rnacentral:sRNA from 12 species
GCAGUCACGUCGUUUGUGACUGAAAGCUCACACUUGUGAGUGUAAUAACAUGAAGAAGGAAUGAUCGAUG